GGGGACGUAGCGAAGCUAGUGGUUCCGCUAGCUUCUAGCGGGACCGGACAAGUAUCGCGCCGGGCUCCAGGUCCGAAGAUCGCCGGUUCAAAUCCGGCCGUCCCCA
rnacentral:tRNA from 1 species